GCGGGAGUGGUGGAAUUGGUAGACACGCUGGAUUUAGGUUCCAGUGUUGAAAGACGUGAGAGUUCGAGUCUCUCCUUCCGCACCA
rnacentral:tRNA from 3 species